CAGCUUCCACCUGUUCCGGGGAAAUAAAGUGGAUGUGCGUAUCAAUAGCGCCAGCAGUGACAAUCUUGCCUUCGCCACCAAUAACUUCCGUACCCACACCGACGAUGAUGUCGAUGUUGUCCAUAAUAUCGGGGUUGCCCGCUUUACCGAUCUUCAUGAUCUUGCCGUCUUUCACAGCAAUAUCAGCAGAGUAAAUACCGGUGUAGUCCACGAUAAUGGUGUUCGUGAUAACCAGGUCCGGGACCUGAUCUGCCUCGACGCGCGAGUUUUGACCCAUGCCGUCGCGG
rnacentral:sRNA from 1 species